GGGGGUGGUCCAUCCCCAUGGUAACCAGGGAGGUGGAUGGGAAUCCCGUUUCCAUGGCAACAACAACAGGUGGGAAGGGUCCAUUUCCAUGGGAACAGGGUUGGGAAGGCUCCGUUUCCAUGGUAACCAGGGGGGUGUGGGUUAUCCCAUCUCCAUGGUAACCAGGGAGGUGUGGGUUAUCCCAUCUCCAUGGCAACCAGGAGGGUGUG